AUAAAACAGUUCACCCUUAUCUUAGUGUUGUAUUAUUCUUUUUUCUUAUUUUUAAUAAAUAAAAUCUUGCGCGUGGCUAGCCUUCAUGUUUUUGGCCUAUGCAAGUUGUGUUUGAUCCCAAACAAUCCCGCAAAUUUCUGUAGGUAUAUUGAACUUAGAAUCUCGGAUGCAGUUGGAAAAUUCAACGUUAGAUACAAAUACCCAUCAAUUCGAAAUUAUUAUCACUCCCCAGCAUGCAAAUUAUGCUGUGCUGCAUUGAACAUCCUUUAACAUGCAAAACAGAACUUCAAAUUUCAAACUUCAGGUAAAAAACACAAUACAAUAAGAAGAAAAAAAUACAAAGAAAACUGAUUAAUUAAACAUAUGAUUAAUUCACCCAUCAUAGCAACACUGAAUACAGCAUUGGUAGUUCAAUGAUCAAGAGAAAACUCUAGCUUUCAAUAUUCAUGCAGGUUGCAAUUCCUCAACUAAACAAAGGAAAGCCCAAUACAAGAGGAAAGUACCCCUCAAAGCCAGGAAAAACUACCAAGGUCAACUUAACAAUGUAAAUAUAAAAAAUCCCAUGUAUAGCAAUAAAAGAACACUUCUAAAAACCCCACCGAGAAACACUGCCGCUGCACAAUAAGUCUUGUACUUUUUUUUUUUCAAUUUUCUUUAUCUAGUAGUUUAUGAGGAAGCCCGUCUACGUUUCUCACAAGCUUUUCAAUGAAGAAGCAAACCACAAGAAAAC